AGUACCUCCUGUGCAGUACUUAUCCUGGAGAUUAAAGCUCAGCUGGACACUCCGGAAGACAAAAGUGGGGCUGUCAGACACAGCAGAUGUUCGGCAUUAAAAAUGUUUUUCAAUGGCACUUGUUAAAGUCCAGGACCAUCACUGUCUAUCCAGGAACCAGAGUAGUGGGUUUGUAGUGAGAGAGACAGACAAGGCUCACCUGGAACACAUGGGCAGGUGGGGUCAGAGGGUGGAAAGUUACCAAGAGGAGGUGUCAGGGGACCGGGGAGCGCCCACCCGGGUGGUGGAGGAUGAGGAGCCUGGUGGGAUGUGGGGACUAGAUGUGGAGAGUGGGGUUCCCACUGCACUGAGCAGGGACCUCACUGACAACCGGGUUUCACCAGCAUGAGUCCAGGUGGGGCUGGAGAGGAUUCAGGAACCUGGAAAGAUUAGCCAAGUGGGGCCAGGUGUGACUUGGUUGCCUCGCAUGCUAGUGGCCCUGGGUUUGAUGUCCAGGCACAGCAAAGAAAAAAGACCAAGUGGAGGGUCUUGAUGAAUAACCAGCCUGCUUCCAGAUGCCCUGCCCCCUUGAAGGCUCCAGGUGCAGGGUCCUCUGUGGGCCUUUCUGUGCUGCCUGGUGUCCAGCCCAGCCUGAGGCAGCAGCCUCCUGCCAGCCCCAGGCCAGUGUCCCAGGAGCUUUCCACACGUAGACCCUCGGAGCUCUGGCAGUAAGACAGAUUGGCUGUUGUUCUGGAGGCUGUCUUUACCUCUGGUGUAUGCCCUGGGGUCCCUGCCAGCUCACAGCCCACUUUGGUUCACACCCUAACCCUCCUCCCAACUUCAGGGCUCUCAAAUUCCCAUAUUCUCAAAGGGAUGCUCCUGCCUUGCCACAUGAGGCCCAGCCAGGUUUCUGAUGACCAGGUGCCUCCAUCUGUUCUCUGCUUGGGAGUCUAACUCCCCCAUGCCAGCUACCAGCUCUAUCAGCAGCCCUUGAGCUGCUUUGAACCCCCAUCACCCCCUUCUCGGCUGCUUCCUUUAGAACAUGUAUCCCAGUACUAAUGCUGUGGUUCUCUGUAACUGCUAAGCCAGCUUCUGCUCAGAUCCACAUCCAUUGUCUCUUGACCACCCUGAGUGGGCCUGGGAGCUCUGUGUGUCUGCUAUCCAGCUGGGCAGUACUAUCAGCCCGUGUGUUGCCCCAGGCCACAGUAGGGAACAGUCAGGAGCUGACUUGGAAGGCCCACAGGUUCUGGGCCCCAGGAGCCCUGUGACCCCAUCAGGAAGUGUGUCCUCCAGCCACUGCUUCCUGCUACCCAGCAGCUGCCUCCCGGGUGCUGUGGUGGGCGAGGAGCAGCUGUGCCUGGGUCUUCGCCCAGGCUAGAGCUGAGUCUGAACUGUGGCUGUUCUUGGCUUCUUGGCCCUGCUCCAACCUGGGAGGAUGCAGAAGGCCACAUCCUGAGUCCAUGAGGGAAGCCUCACCCACUGCUGCCCACUUCCCCUGGUAGCCCAAAUGCUAGGCUCGUCCAGGUCACUGGCCUCAAGUCUGCAAGACCAAACUCUUCCCAGCACCCCAUGUACAUUCCUGACCUUGCUGUGGGGAGGCCACCAGGGAGGACAGCAGCUUGUUGGAAAGGGCUGAGUCCCUGCACAGCCGUCCCACGCCGGAGGGCAGGAAAGCCUUCUGUGGCCUCGCAGGCCACAGAAGGGCCACUGGUGCUCCUUCCUUGGAGGGCACCCACGUGUUGACGGGUGAGGUGGGCAGCGGCCUUGCCCUGCGGUCCCUUACCUCGGCCUGGCCAGGCUUCCUUGACUCUGCCGAGGUCCUCAGGUUCCUGCAAGAUCCUAAGCGCGCUUCCUCUACACUUUCUGAAUGGGGAGGGAGACACAUUUGAGGGAAAUUAAGCCAGAGAUUGCCAAAGACUCUGAAGUCAUAUGAUCCCCAUAAAAGGGGAUCUGGGGGCUGGAUAUCAUCCCGAUGGUACAGGGCCGGAGCCUUCCAAGAAACUGAGGCAGCAUGAAGACCCUCUCUUAACCCCAAUUCUUGCGACCAGGCC
rnacentral:lncRNA from 1 species